rnacentral:rRNA from 1 species
AACGAACGCUGGCGGCAGGCUUAACACAUGCAAGUCGAGCGCCCCGCAAGGGGAGCGGCAGACGGGUGAGUAACGCGGGGGGACGUACCUUUUGGUUCGGAACAACUCCGGGAAACUGGAGCUACUACCGGAUAAGCCCUCACGGGGAAAGAUUUAUAUCCGAUAGAUCGGCCCGCGUCUGAUUAGCUAGUUGGUGAGGUAACGGCGAACCAAGGCGACGAUCAGUAGCUGGUCUGAGAGGAUGCUCACCCACACUGGGACGGAGACACGGGUCAGACUCCUACGGGAGGCAGCAGUGGGGAAUAUUGGCAAAGGGGCGUGAGUCUGAUCCAGCCACGCCUCGUGAGUGACUAAGGCUUUAGGGGUGUAAAGCUCUUUUGUCCGGGAAGAUAAUGACUGGACCGGAAGAAUAAGCCCCGGCUAAAUUCGUG